AGUGAACGCUGGCGGUAGGCCUAACACAUGCAAGUCGAACGGCAGCACAGUAAGAGCUUGCUCUUACGGGUGGCGAGUGGCGGACGGGUGAGGAAUACAUCGGAAUCUACUUUUUCGUGGGGGAUAACGUAGGGAAACUUACGUUAAUACCGCAUACGACCUACGGGUGAAAGCAGGGGAUCUUCGGACCUUGCGCGAUUGAAUGAGCCGAUGUCGGAUUAGCUAGUUGGCGGGGUAAAGGCCCACCAAGGCGACGAUCCGUAGCUGGUCUGAGAGGAUGAUCAGCCACACUGGAACUGAGACACGGUCCAGACUCCUACGGGAGGCAGCAGUGGGGAAUAUUGGACAAUGGGCGCAAGCCUGAUCCAGCCAUACCGCGUGGGUGAAGAAGGCCUUCGGGUUGUAAAGCCCUUUUGUUGGGAAAGAAAAGCAGCAGGUUAAUACCCCGCUGUUCUGACGGUACCCAAAGAAUAAGCACCGGCUAACUUCGU
rnacentral:rRNA from 1 species